GUGGGAAGGAAGGCAGGAGGAAGGGGAAAGACAUGACACAAUACCCUUAGCGCUGUGUUAGGAUUCAGCACCAUGCGAAACAGGGCAAAUAGACAGGAAAACAGCAGUCCUGCCAUGUUGGCUGCAAAAAAAGCUGUCCUUACUAAGGCAAUGGCUCUGCCUGCACCUAAAAGCUGUGAAUAACAGGAUGACUCACUCUAAGCACCAGACAGUGCACCCUGAAGCUGGGGUCAGCAGAACACACGAGCCUGCAGCCUCGUGAGUCCUUGGAGACCCUGGAGAAGAUACUCACCAAAUGUGGUUUUAAUAGAUACUGUAAGGGUAAUACAGUGACCCUCAACUUAGCCACAGAGGCUGCUCAGGAGAGGCUAUCUCUAGGUGUGAGCUGAGGAAGCACCUGCCAACAGGCUGCUUUGGUCAGGAAAAUCCUCCGGCACAUUGGAUAUACCUACCUGAUCGGAAUGCUCAGAAGGCUUCACAGCAGACAACGAAGAAAAAAAAUGCUUUGGUUAUCACAGAAGAACUUUGUGGAGGGUGAGAGGAAAGGAAGAAAUUGCCUACGAACAGACACUGGAGAGUGUUUUCUUCAGAGGACUACAGCUCCCAGAUGCUUCUGCUCCUUUCUGCUGCUCUAAGUUCUGCAGUUACUCAUCACUUGACUCUAAGCGGUUCCAGUCUGUUAUUCUGUAUCACAAUACAUGUUGAAUUGGUGGCAUCACAUUCCAUUCCAGCAAAAGUGACUGAAAACCCUUCCUGUCUCAUAGGCAGUGGGUGUUCUACUUUUCUUUCAAGUCCCCCUUUCUUUUCCCCUUCUCCCUCUGCCUCUCUUCACUCCACCAUGCAGUCACCACUUCUGCCAUCCCUGAGCAGCCAUGCAAGACAAGCACAAACUGUCUGGAGGGCUGAAAAUGGAAGACACGGCAGAUGGAAACACCAAAAUCAUCCUUUUCUGUAGGCUCUCUAAAAGCAGAGAUGCAAGAGAAUUUUGUACACUGCUUUUUUGUUUUUUUUUUUUUCUUUUUUUUUCUUUUUGUGACUUGACACAGAUAUACCUGCUUGAUCUGGAUGCUCAGGAGGCUCUACAGCAGACAAUGAAGAAAACAUGUAGCUGUAGAUGUCCCUGUUUAUUGCAGGGCAGUUGGACUAGAUAACCUUUAAAGGUCCCUUCCAACGUAAACAAUUCUACGAUUGUAUGACUUCUGAGAUUUCUGAUUUUAAAACUUUAAGUGAUCUUUAUGCUGUUAGUAAAUUCUUUUAAAAUUAUAAGGAAGUAGUGCUACAUAAAGUGAAACUGUCAAAGACUUUACACAUUGAUUUGGCAAGCUAGGAUUGUCAGCAGUACUCACCUGUAUGUCACAACCAGGGACAUCUGUUAGAAAGAGAGGUGCCACCGCUGUGUUAACUCACACAUAGAUGACUGUAUCACCAAGGAGGCUGUGCAGCCUGAGACCUGCCACAGUCAUGCUGGGCUGAAGUGAGAUUUUUGUUGAAAAGAAGAUAAUGGGUGGUUCUGGGCACCACUGAGGCAUAUGCAGGGCAGUAAAGUAGACAAUGGCAAUCUUAGAGACCCAGAGAUGCAACAGACCAUCCAUCUCUGGUCAUUUCUGUCACAUGAAAAAGCAAACUUAAGUAAUCUCUGAAUUUUCUGAGCAUGGACAGCAUCUCAGAAAAAAUCACAAAUGCUGAACAAUUCUGAAGUAUGUUUUAACUCUGUUGGAUUUCUGAUCAAGAAUUGAAGUACAAAGAUACAUUGCUAGUAAGUAAAAUGCUUGCUGUUAUAUCUCUGCGUCUAUUUCGUACAUUAGAACUUGGAUUUUCCUCAAGCAUGUCUUAAAACUAGAAGGAAGGAUCCAUUUUUACUGUAAUCAAUUACUCACCUGAUUUACAUUCCAUGUUGGUUAGAAUUCAAGGAGUGAUGGAGCCCUAUGUCCCCAGCUGGCUCAUGCUUACUAUAGACAAGUGAUCACAUUUGGUCCUUGUCAGGCUUAAGAAUUCAGUUAUCCAAAAUUCAGUCAUGACAAUUCAUUUCAAACAGCAGUUAUAGCUACACUUUAAUCAGAACUGGCAAUGGAAGCAACAUAUUUUCUGACUGUACAAUUACUGAUCACUUUAGGCCUAUGUAAAGCAGGAAAAUAAAUUAAUUACAAAUUUGCUUCAGAAUACUACACCAAAGAUUUAAUAUAAACUGAUUUUUCCCAUUUGCCAGAUGUUAACAGGAUCGCUGGUGAAUUUGCACAGGUGAUUAAGCUCUUUGAGGGUAAAUCUUAUAAGAAAAAUAUUUUAAAAUAUGAUUUAUUAUUUUUAACUACUUCAAUUGAAAGCAAUAAAAUUCUCUGCUCGGUGCUUAAGGAAUGAGUAUCUGACAUGGAAUGCAGCAGAACUGCCCCCGAAUAACUUUGCCCUGACCCACUGAGCAUAGGGAUAAAACAAACGGGACAGUUCUUCCCUCCCCUCCUCCUUUUCUGAGAAGUCAGCAUUCUCCAGUGAAAAUAAACCAGUGUCAGUAAGUGACAAUUCUGGAAUUCUCCCUGAAAGUUAAAUCCCAGCUGAGACACUAAAUCACUUCGGGAAAAUGUGCCCUGUUGUGAAACAUUUGUAUUGGGGUCCUAUUGCACUGUCCUUGGGUGCAUUCUUUUUUAAUAAAACAGGCAUUUUCUUCCACUUGGGCACAUCAUAAAAUUGCCACCAAAUAAUACUUCAUGUGGCAGUUCUGUAAUAAUCCAAGACGUGCCAGUUAGAUUGUUUUAAAUGUUAGUCCUAAUCCUUCAGGCAAACACUAACAGAUAGUAGCAAUUUGUGUAGUCAUCGGAGCAUAAAAAUGAACUUUUAAAAAAUAUCUAACACUUAAAAAGCAAACAAACCAACAAAAACAAUACAAUAGUUUCCUUGUCAGGGCACAAGCGAUCUCCCCACAGAACAUCUGAGAAAGAAUGAAAUGGCAAAAGUUUGGACAAAUCCAGUUCAGUCAUUGUGUCUCUGCCUACAUGAGGACAUUUUGAUGCUUUCCCAUUUUGCUGGGGCAUGAAUGCAGUUGCACUGAAGGAACAGCAAAAGCAGGGAGAUGGGCAAGAGGAGACUGAUGUAGCAAACUGGAAAAUCCUGUUUCCCUGCUACACGAUAGUGUACAUCAUUUAAUACUCUCAGUCGUAUGAUCUGAUUUUUUGGGUGGUCCUGUAUGGAGCCAGGAGUUGAACUCUAUGAUCCUUAUGGGUGCCUUCCAAUUUGGGAUUUUCUAUGACUCUGUAUCUCUCAGUAGACAUGCUAGGCCAAAAAUGGCAAAAAAUGAUUGCAGAGACAAACACCAGAUGUCUAAGCGACAUUGCAGAUGCACUCACAAAGCCACUAUCCACUAACUGAAUUAUUUGAUCUGCCAUUUGCCAAAUUAUGAGCUUCUAUUGCUUGAAGGCGGUACGAAAAGCUGCUGCCCACCUCCUCACGUUCAUACACUGGGCAGCAUGAUUACCCAGCCAGUAUGUGUCCUGGGAGACUGCUGCUGAGAUCUGGGCAGUGAUUUGGUGCUGUCUUGUAGGGCAAGCUUGCUGGGAGAGCUAUCAAGCCCAGCAUGAUAUGGUCUACCCUCUACAGAGCAACAUGUCCCGCUGUAUCCUCUGGCCACCGUGCCUCCCUGAUUUUUUACCCAUGAACAUGGAAGAUGAGGGCCAGCAGGGCUGCAGGUGUCUGUGUACUACUUUCUGCUGUGGUCUUACGAGGAACACCUGGCCAAGGAGGUCAGACACAAGCUCCAUUUCUUACCCAGCAUGAAGAGAGCCAAGUCAUGUACAGAACUUAAGGAUAGAACUUGAUCCCAGGCCUGUGGCCAGGACAUUCAUUUUGGGGGGAAGGACCAGAGAUCAUUUGUAGAUAUAUGCAUAUAUGCACAUAUGUGGGCAUAUAUAUGUGUAUAUAACUAACUGAGCUUCAGUCCUUUUCAGAUCAACAGAAACACCCCAAGCAUUGCCAGAGAAGUGAGUGCCCCUGGGGUUACAAAUGGAGGUGCAGAACAGAAACUUGGGCACAGCAAGCAGGGAGGGACUUUAGGAGUUUGGGACAAGCAGGCAGCAAGGUAAGAGCUUUCAGGAUGUUUUCCUAUCUCCUACCUUAAGCACCUCUGUCAUGUGCAGGGUUGAGUCUAAAGCUCCAAGUUUACAGCAAUAUCCAGCAUGUGUUAUCAGAUAGGAAUGCUUCUCCUUCAAAUCUAACCAUCUGUAUUUGUGGCUGCGAAUACUUUUAUCUGAAUUAUUUUAUCUGUAAAUAUUCUCCCAAAUUGUUUUCAAGGAAUAAAUAAUAUGAAGCACUACAUCUCUGAAAAAUCCAAACGAAUCCAGCAAUUGUUUAGUAAAGGCUAAGUGCUUUUCAUGAGAACAUUUAAGAUAAAGGAAUAUAUGUACUUCUCUUCCUGUUUAUAAUAUGAUUCAGAGUUCAUUAAAGGAACUGGGAAUAGCACAGAAAAGGUGUUAAAAGGUGACAGUUAAAAGGCGAUAGUACCAGAGAUCAAUUGAUUGCAGGUUUCACAGAGAAAAUAUUAGGAAGUUCUGUGUGCCCAUAAGGUUCAAUUGAAGUGUGUGAAGAUCAGUCACUCCAACAGUUAUCCUAAAUUCUCAAAAUAAAAAUGUCAUCACAACAAUUUCUUAAAUAGUUUUCUGCCUUUUCCUUCUCUUCCUAGAUGGAGAAUUUCCAUCAAAAUAUGUUGCUUAUUUAAGCCUUCAUUUUUAUGCUGAUUCUACAUGCUAGAAAGGAGAAAACAAAUAUUAAGCGCGUUUUUCAAAAUGACACAGAAGAGACAGAGCCAAGUUAGUUAUCUUCAUGAUCUCAG
rnacentral:lncRNA from 1 species